rnacentral:rRNA from 1 species
CUGGCAGUUCCCUACUCUCGCAUGGGGAGACCCCACACUACCAUCGGCGCUACGGCGUUUCACUUCUGAGUUCGGCAUGGGGUCAGGUGGGACCACCGCGCUACUGCCGCCAG